GGGCAGAUGAUUUGAAUAUGGAUCUAAAGAUCACCUUUUGUAAAGAAUGUGUUUAUGAAUAUGAACCUACGAAGGAGUGAACUUGACCAAGGACGACUGUUUGAGGAAAUGGCUUCCUUUUCCAAGCUGCUCAGGGUUGUGUUAAAUACCAGCAUAUGAGCCUGUAGUACUGACAGACCACACCAGAGCACACCCGAGAAGGCACGGGCCGCAUCUUUCAGACCGGAGACCAGUUAUUAGUGGCAUGUAGCUUAAAUAAAUAGAUCACAAGACUGAUGCACCAGA